AGUAACACGUGGAUAACCUACCUAUAAGACUGGGAUAACUUCGGGAAACCGGAGCUAAUACCGGAUAAUAUAUUGAACCGCAUGGUUCAAUAGUGAAAGACGGUUUUGCUGUCACUUAUAGAUGGAUCCGCGCCGCAUUAGCUAGUUGGUAAGGUAACGGCUUACCAAGGCAACGAUGCGUAGCCGACCUGAGAGGGUGAUCGGCCACACUGGAACUGAGACACGGUCCAGACUCCUACGGGAGGCAGCAGUAGGGAAUCUUCCGCAAUGGGCGAAAGCCUGACGGAGCAACGCCGCGUGAGUGAUGAAGGUCUUCGGAUCGUAAAACUCUGUUAUUAGGGAAGAAC
rnacentral:rRNA from 1 species